GACGAACGCUGGCGGCGUGCUUAACACAUGCAAGUCGAACGGAAAGGCCCUGCUUUUGUGGGGUGCUCGAGUGGCGAACGGGUGAGUAACACGUGAGUAACCUGCCCUUGACUUUGGGAUAACUUCAGGAAACUGGGGCUAAUACCGGAUAGGAGCUCCUGCUGCAUGGUGGGGGUUGGAAAGUUUCGGCGGUUGGGGAUGGACUCGCGGCUUAUCAGCUUGUUGGUGGGGUAGUGGCUUACCAAGGCUUUGACGGGUAGCCGGCCUGAGAGGGUGACCGGCCACAUUGGGACUGAGAUACGGCCCAGACUCCUACGGGAGGCAGCAGUGGGGAAUAUUGCACAAUGGGCGGAAGCCUGAUGCAGCAACGCCGCGUGCGGGAUGACGGCCUUCGGGUUGUAAACCGCUUUCGCCUGUGACGAAGCGUGAGUGACGGUAAUGGGUAAAGAAGCACCGGCUAACUACGUGCCAGCAGCCGCGGUGAUACGUAGGGUGCGAGCGUUGUCCGGAUUUAUUGGGCGUAAAGGGCUCGUAGGUGGUUGAUCGCGUCGGAAGUGUAAUCUUGGGGCUUAACCCUGAGCGUGCUUUCGAUACGGGUUGACUUGAGGAAGGUAGGGGAGAAUGGAAUUCCUGGUGGAGCGGUGGAAUGCGCAGAUAUCAGGAGGAACACCAGUGGCGAAGGCGGUUCUCUGGGCCUUUCCUGACGCUGAGGAGCGAAAGCGUGGGGAGCGAACAGGCUUAGAUACCCUGGUAGUCCACGCUGUAAACGGUGGGUACUAGGUGUGGGGUCCAUUCCACGGGUUCCGUGCCGUAGCUAACGCUUUAAGUACCCCGCCUGGGGAGUACGGCCGCAAGGCUAAAACUCAAAGGAAUUGACGGGGCCCCGCACAAGCGGCGGAGCAUGCGGAUUAAUUCGAUGCAACGCGUAGAACCUUACCUGGGUUUAACAUGGAUCGGGAGCGCUCAGAGAUGGGUGUGCCUCUUUUGGGGUCGGUUCACAGGUGGUGCAUGGCUGUCGUCAGCUCGUGUCGUGAGAUGUUGGGUUAAGUCCCGCAACGAGCGCAACCCUUGUUCACUGUUGCCAGCACGUUAUAGUGGGGACUCAGUGGAGACCGCCGGGGUCAACUCGGAGGAAGGUGGGGAUGACGUCAAGUCAUCAUGCCCCUUAUGUCCAGGGCUUCACGCAUGCUACAAUGGCUGGUACAGAGAGUGGCGAGCCUGUGAGGGUGAGCGAAUCUCGGAAAGCCGGUCUCAGUUCGGAUUGGGGUCUGCAACUCGACCUCAUGAAGUCGGAGUCGCUAGUAAUCGCAGAUCAGCAACGCUGCGGUGAAUACGUUCCCGGG
rnacentral:rRNA from 1 species